AAUAGAAUAAAGUAGAUAAGGGAAGUCGUCAAAAUAGAUCCGUAACUUCGGGAAAAGGAUUGGUUCUGAGGACUGGGUGCAUUGCGCCCUUGUUGCCUGUAUUUAACGGAGCUUAGGACUGCUUCAUGCUUUGCGGCGUGUUGCGGAUCUGAGCAUUGUUUGUACUGUGCACAGAGGAAAAGGUUUGAAUUCGCAUAUCUCUUCGCGGGGAUAUAUGUGGUCUUUACUGUGCAGGCACGGUGAAGAGCUAACUCAGAACUGGAGCAGACAAGGGGAACCCGACUGUUUAAUUAAAACAAAGCAUUGCGAUGGCCAUAACUGGUGUUGACACAAUGUGAUUUCUGCCCAGUUCUUUGAAUGUCAAUGUGGUGAAAUUCAAUCAAGCGCGGGUAAACGGCGAAAGUAGCGAUGACUCUCAUAAGGUAGCCAAUUGCCUCGUCAUCUGAUUAGUGACACGCAUGAGAUUAACGAGAUUCCCACUGCCCCUAUCUACUAUCUAGCGAAACCACAGCCAAGGGAGCGGGCUUGACAGAAGCAGCGGGGAAGAUCGUGUUGAGCUUGACUGUAGUCCGACUCUGUGAAAUGACUUAGGAGGUGUAGAAUAAGUAGGAAUUUUUCGGCGUCGUGAAAUACCACUACUCUUAAUGUUGUUUUACUUCUUCCGUCAUGUUGAGGCGCAUGCGCAAGCAUGUGUUUUGGAUUUAAGGUGGCAUUUAUGCCGCUGAUCUACGCGGAAGACAUAGAUUGGGAGUUUGGUUGGGGCGGCACAUCUGUGAAACAAUAGCGAAGGUGUCCUAAGGCAAGCACAAUGAGAACAGGAAUCUCAUGUCGACCAAAGGGGAAACACUUGCUUGGUUUUGUUUUCAGUACGCAUACAUACUGUGAAAGCAUGGCCUAUCGAUCCUUUUGGUCUGAGAAAGCUUCAGCUAGAGGUGUCAGAAAAGUUAUCACAGGGAUAACUGGCUUGUGGCAGCCAAGCGUCCAUAGCGACGUUGCUUUUUGAUCCAUCGAUGUCGGCUCUUCCUAUCAUUGAGACGCAGUAGUCUCAAAGUGUCGGAUUGUUCACCCGCCAAUAGGGAACGUGAGCCGGGUUUCUGCCGUCGUGAGACAGGUUAGUUUUACCUACUGAUGACUUGAUACUGCAACAGCAAUCCAACUUAGUACGAGAGGAACAGUUGGUUCCGAUACUUCGUAAAUGGUGCCAGUUAAAAAACUAGUGCAGCGAUGCUACCAUCCGUUGGAUAAUGACUGAACGCCUCUUAAGUCAGACUCCAUGCUGGAUACGCAGUGUUAUUCACAGUUUCCUCUGUUACAUGCAAAGAAACAGGCUUCUCUGUGUCCUAAUUCUCACCAUUGCUCCGCGCGAUACUGCAAGGAGCGAGAAACACAAUUCCGAACAAAGGAGGCGAUACAUCCAUUGCAGACGACUUUGGUGCAACCGGGUAUUGUAUAUAUGAGAGUAGGCUUGUCCUACGAUCUACUAAGAUUUAUCCUGUGCUGUCCGAUGU
rnacentral:ncRNA from 1 species